rnacentral:rRNA from 1 species
AUGGCUCCAAGUAUAAUGGCAGCUCUGCAUGUGAUGUCAUCUGUUACAUCCUUAUCACAUGCAGAGAAGAAGCGCAGCAACUCCCCAGAAGGUUUGGAAGGGAGAGGCGAUAUUGCACUUCGAAGCCACUUGGCAGUUGUCAUGGCUGUGCUCACUGGGGUGAAAGGAGCCAUCUUUGAGUUGCAGAAGCUAUUUCCAUUAGGUGACGGACAGAAACGUGGAGGAGACAUUGGGGCUCGACUUGCUGUUGAUUUGGUAGGUGAGGCCAUAACAUCGUCAUACUUUCUCUGCAAGAUCACAGAUAAUUAG